GCCAGGUGAGUGCACACUGCGACACUAUGAUGAGGCCAGGUGAGCGCACACUGGGACACUAUGAUGAGGCCAGGUGAGUGCACACUGGGGCACUAUGAUGAGGCCAGGUGAGCGCACACUGGGACACUAUGAUGAGGCCAGGUGAGCGCACAUUGGGACACUAUGAUGGGGCUAGGUGAAUGCACACUGGGACACUGUGAUGUGGCUAGGUGAGAGCACACUGGGGCACUAUGAUGGGGUUAGGUGAGCGCACACUGGGACACUAUGAUGAGGCUAGGUGAGCGAACACUGGGGCACUAUGAUGACGCCAGAUGACUGCACACUGGGGUACUAUGAUGAGUCUAGGUGAGUGCACACUGGGGCACUAUGAUGAGGCCAGGUGAGCGCAGACUGGGGCACUAUGAUGAGGCCAGGUGAGCGCACACUGGACACUGUAAUAAGGCCCGGUGAGCGUACACUGAGGCACUAUGAUGAGGCCAGGUGAGCGCACACUGGGGCACUAUGAUGAGGCCAGGUGAGCGCACACUGGGACACUAUGAUGAUGCCGGAUGAGCGCACACUGGGACACUAUGAUGAGGCCAGGUGAGCACACUCUGCGACACUAUGAUGAGGCCAGGUGAGGGCACACUGAGGCACUAUGAUGAGGCCGGGUGAGCGCACAGUGGGACACUAUGAUGAGGCCAGGUGAGCGCACACUGGGACACUAUGAUGAGGCCGGGUGAGCACACACUGGGACACUUUGAUGAGGCCAGGUGAGUGCAUACUGGGACCCUAUGAUGAGGCCAGGUGAGUGCACACUGGGACACUAUGAUGAGGCUAGGUGAGCGGACACUGGGACACUAUGAUGAGGCUAGGUGAGCGCACACUGAGGCACUAUGAUGAGGCCGGGUGAGCGCACACUGGGGCACUAUGAUGAUGCCGGGUGAGCGCACAGUGGGACACUAUGAUGAGGCUAGGUGAGUGCACACUGGGACACUAUGAUGAGGCCAGGUGAGUGCACACUGUGGCACUAUGAUGAGGCUAGUUGAGUUCACACUGGGGCAUUAUGAUGAAGCUAGGUGAGCGCACACUGUGACAGUAAGAUGAGGCCAGGUGAGCGCACACUGGGACAGUAAGAUGAGGCCAGGUGAGCGCACACUGGGACACUAUGAUGAGGCUAGGUGAGUGCACCCUGGGGCACUAUGAUGAGGCCGGGUGAGUGCACACUGCGACACUAUGGUGAGGCUAGGUGAGUGCACACUGCGGCACUAUGAUGAGGCCAGGUGAGCGCACACUGGGACACUAUGAUGAGGCUAGGUGAGGGGACACUAGGGCACUAUGUUGAGGCUAGGUGAGCGCACACUGGGACACUAUGAUGAGGCCGGUUGAGUGCACACUGGGGCACUAUGCUGAGGCUAGGUGAGUGCUCACUGGGGCACUAUGAUGAGGCCAGGUGAUUGCACACUGGGACACUAUGAUGAGGCCGUAUGCGUGCACACUGGAACACUAUGAUGAGGCUAGGUGAGCGCACACUGGAACACUAUGAUGAGGCUAGGUGAGCGCACACUGGGACACUAUGAUGAGGCUAGGUGAACACACACUGGGACACUAUAAUGAGGCUCGGUGUGUGCACACGGGGGCACUAUGAUGAGGCUAGGUGAGCGCACACUGGGACACUAUGAUGAGGCUAGGUGAGCGCACAGUCGGACAGUAUGAUCAGGCUGGGUGAGCGCACAUUCGGACACUAUGAUGGGGCUAGGUGAGUGCACACUGGGACACUAUGAUGGGGCUAGGUGAGUGCACACUGGGACACUAUGAUGUGGCUAGGUGUGAGCACACUGGGGCACUAUGAUGGGGUUAGGUGAGCGCACACUGGGACACUAUGAUGAGGCUAGGUGACUGCACACUGGGGAGGCUAGGUUAGCGCAUACUGGGACACUAUGAUGAGGCCAGGUGAGUGCACACUGGGGCACUAUGAUGAGGCUAGGUGAGUGCACACUGGGGCACUAUGAUGAGGCUAGGUGAGUGCACACUGGGGCACUAUGAUGAGGCUAGGUGAGUGCACACUGGGACACUAUGAUGAGGCCGGGUGAGUGCACACUGGGACCCUAUGAUGAGGCCGGGUGAGUGCACACUGGGACCCUAUGAUGAGGCCGGGUGAGUGCACACUGGGACACUAUGAUGAGGCUAGCUGAGUGCACACUGGGGCACUAUGAUGAGGCUAGGUGAGCGCACACUGGGACACUAUGAUGAGGCCGGGUGAGCGAACACUGGGACACUAUGAUGAGGCUAGGUGAGGGCACACUGGGGCACUAUGAUGAGGCCGGGUGAGCGCACACUGGGGCACUAUGAUGAGGCUAGGUGAGCGCACACUGGGAUACCAUGAUGAG
rnacentral:lncRNA from 1 species